ensembl:miRNA
AAUACAGGACACCCAAUUCAAUUUGAAUUUAGAUAACCAAUGAAGAAUGUUUUAGUAUAAGUAUGUCCCAUGCAACAUUUAAGACAUACUUAUGCUAAAAAAUUCUUCAUUAUUUAUCUGAAACUCAAAUUUAACUGGACAGUCUCUAUUUU